UACGGGGGGGGGCAAGCGUUGUUCGGAAUUACUGGGCGUAAAGGGCUCGUAGGCGGCCAACUAAGUCAGACGUGAAAUCCCUCGGCUUAACCGGGGAACUGCGUCUGAUACUGGAUGGCUUGAAUCCGGGAGAGGGAUGCGGAAUUCCAGGUGUAGCGGUGAAAUGCGUAGAUAUCUGGAGGAACACCUGUGGUGUAGACGCUUACUGGACCACUUCUGACGCUGAGACACGAAAGCGUGGGGAGCAAACAGG
rnacentral:rRNA from 1 species